GGAGACGUCGAAUUAAUCUUUUGGUGCUUUUGCUUCCACAGUUUACUUUAUUUGUUUUGAACUUCUGUUUUAAUUUUUUUUACUUACCGGAUCAACCUCAUAUCGGUUGGAUUUGUUCAUCUGAAGACAUUGAAAAUAUUUAUUUUGUAUUUUUGUUGCUGUUCUGGAUCUUUAUCUUGAGUCACACCAUCAGACUAUGGAUCCAACUAAGGACCUGAGAAACGACUGGAUGUCUAAACUGAAAGAAGAAUUUGUCAGAAGUUCAGUGGCAUCUACUUUAGGCUUUGUACUGAUCCAGUUGGUGUUGGAGAAACUGGUGGAAACAGAGUUUUCAUGCCCUUGUGACUCUGAAUACAACUAUUUACAUACUUCAGUAUGUUUCAUUGUUCCACCCUUUAUAGUCUUUACACUAAUGUAUGUCACUGCAGGUCACUAUAAACUCUGUGACGCCUUGAAACUCGGCAUUAUUCCAGCUGGAGUAUGGUUGGUGAUAGUGUUCCUUGAUGGUCGUUAUUACGCCUGUGCAAUGACCAGUUGGUCAGGGAAGUAUGAAAUGAUUGUGAACGCUGAACCUCAGAAAUGGUGCCAACCAUUAAACCCCAACUCAUCUCAGGAGCUGCUGGCCAAAACCCAGCUUCUGUAUUCUGAAUCGCAGUUCUUUGGAUUCCUGGCAGUGUUUUUGUUGACGCUUUUUUAUAUUUUAUGUUUGAUCAUCUCUUCCUUGUUCUCAUACUGCAGUGCAAAUUUGGACAGAACGAGCCUAUUCCUUUUUUCCAUUGUUAUUGUUCCAUUGUCUAUUUAUUUUUUAGUUCUAUGGAUUUUUGACUCUAUUUUGGUUGCCUGUUCAUGUGGUUUGGUUUGUCUGGCCCUGAUGCUCGCAGGUAAACUUACAGAGGACUGAAGAGUUUAAUAACUAACAGGAUUUACUCAGGGCCGGCACAAGCCUCCAUGGGGCCCUGUGCGAAAUUUGGUUGAGGGGCCCUCUACUUCUGCUAACAAUGUGAAUUUCUGGAAUCAACAGACGAUUAGAUAAUUCACACACCUGAUAUAAACUUAUUGCGUAUUUGAUGCCGCUGUUUGCAUUAUACCCUAUGCAUGUAUAAUAUAGGAUACAUUUAUCUGCCAGUCGAUUUCUGGGUUAAUUUUGGGGGAUCGUGAUCGGCCGAUACUUACACAGGAAGCCCAUCUUAUCCACUGAUCUUAUUUUUGUCAGGAAAGGUUUAAAAAUCAGCUUCUGUCCUCUUCUGCUCUACAGUGAGGGUUUGACUGACAGACCGGCCCACCAGCUCAGGUCUGAACGUUUACAGUUAACAACAUUCACCCCACUGUUGCCAACUCACCAACUUUCUUGCUACCUUUAGAAACAUUUCAGACAAAAAAAAUUGGUAUCGGCCAAAAAUAAAAAUCAGCAGGUCAGGCUCUUUAAAGAUCGGUAACCAGGGAUCGGUCAGAAAACUGCAAUCAGUGCAGCUCUACACACAUAUUCAUGACGUUCUUUGAUUAGAUAAAUUUCUCUCAAGCGUUACUCCAAUAGCUAGAAAUUUAAUUUACACCAGGUGAGUUUUUCUUCCCUUGAUUCUGAGCCUUGAAAUGAUUUCAACAUAAGUUUCACAUAGCUUAUAAGUUGAUGUAAAAUAAUGUUUGUUUUAGCCACAUAAAUGAUAAACAACAAAUCACCCCAACUACAGCAUAGAGCAGCUCGUCGAUGUAGCAGCCAUGUAGCCUGAUGGAAAACAUUUUGCUAGACUAUAUCAAACAUUGAGAAGUUUUAAUCACUGUUAUCAAACGUUGUUAAACACGCCGUUUAAAAAGCCAAAAAAAACUCAGAAAUAUACAGAACCAAGCAGGAGAAUCAUCUCAUUUAAAGUUAAAACUUAGAUUCACACAAAGACGCUAGCAUAAAUGUUUGGCUGGAAGGAUAAGUGUGCUUAGUUUGCUUGUGCCUUGGGCCGGCCCUGCCCAGAACCAGAACCAAAUAUGGAGAAACAGCAUUCAGCUUCUAUGUACCACAACAAACUUACAGAAAGCUGCAAAACGGCCGAAACACAGAAUUAAAUUUAAUCUAGAGUUUCUUUGAUAAGUAGAAAGUUGAACAUUGAUCAACAUAUUUGAUGUGUGAUGAUGAUUUUGGUGAUGACAUUUGACAAAAUGAGUUUGUUUAUUGAUCAUUUCAUAAUUGGCGACGGCGACGUUUCCUGAUGUAAAGCACUUUGAACUGCCUUGUUUCUGUGAAACGAAUAAACUAGAUUUG